ACCCCACUCCUCUAGGUCAUCACAGAGCACAGAUCUGAGCUCCCUGUGCUAUGCAGCAGCCUCCUGCUACUAUCUGCUUUACACGGGAGUUGAGAUCUCAGCUGCAUGGCCCAGGGUGAAGGGGAAUCUGGCCCUGCACCCAGCCUCCUCCGCCCUCUUCUGGAGAUCUCUGAGACUGGGGGGCCAGGAGAGGGGUGUGGAAGCAAGUCUCACAAGCCUAUCCUCUCCGGGCUGGAUUGUCACUGCUUCUCUGGCUACUCGACCCAUCCUCUGUUCAAAGAAAGCCGAGUCCCUCCGGAAGGCCUGUGAAUUCCUUGAAGCCUGCGGCCAGAGGUUCAUCACAGAGCCCACAGACAAAGCAGACACCCACCUGGGGGAUGACAUGCUGGUCUCGCCUUACAAGAGAUUUCCUGUGGCCCUGGGAAGGAAAAGCACCCCUCCCCAUCUCCCCCACAAGAGGGAAGAGCAGACCCUCUGCCACAUGCACUGCACUCCCCACAUGGUAAAUGACUCUCCCCCACGCCAGCUCCUCUUCCAGUCAUUGUGGGCAGCCGUGGUGCUGAUGAGAGAAGAGCCAGUCCAGCCCCCUUGCAAGCCCUGCAGAGGGGAGAUGCUGUGAGCUCCUGGACGCUCACUGGAGGCUCUGUGAAUGUAAGCACGUGGGUUCCUGGUGUCUUUCAUACUCAGUUUUGUGUCUUAGCUGCAUCCAGGACAGGACAAGUCCCACACAGCAUCCAGGUAUGCUGGCGCAGGGCUCUCCUUCCUCCAGGAGCCCAGCUCUUGGAUAUAUAU
ensembl:lncRNA